GGGAGGAAAGGGGAAGGGGCCGGCUUAGGGCUGGGGCGCUACCCCCCAGCCCCCGCUACCUCCUCCCGGGGUCCUGGGCGGAAGCGAGGCUGGAGGAGCAGAGCGGAUCAUGUCCCCGCCCCCACGUUGUCCUCCAGCCCUGUGUAGAGGUCACAGGUUCAAUCGCUGGGACCACCAUGAAGCAGAACUGAGCCAUGCUUCGAGGAGGUCCUGCCUGCAGACCAGGAUGCUGACGCCAACCAUUGUUGUAUUGGCUCCACGUGGCUUAACCCGCUGCACUCACACCUGACUCUGGGGCUCCUGUAUGAAUAAAGAUUUGUAUUGCUACCGCCACAAACUUGGUUCCUGGAUCAUCUCUCCUGCCUGCGAAGCUAACCCAGAGCCCAGGAAGAGAAGUGUGGUCUGCAGAAGAAGGACAUGGCCCAGCAAAUGCACAGCCACUGACUAGCAAGCACAGAAGCUGCCUGUCACUGGCUGGGAAAGACAGAUCACAGGCCCAGAGGUCUCAUCUCAGGCGGGAGGGAGCAGAGAAGCUGCAUUGCCACUGGGAAGGUGGACCAGAGCAGUUUCUGUCUUCAAGAUGUCAACAUAGAUUUGUUCCAGCAAUUCCAUUAUUGGGCAGAUGCCCUAGAGAAAGCAGGGACUCCAACAAGUAUAUCUGUAACCCCUUCUUUUAUUUCUUUUUCUUUUAGAACUGCAGAACUCAUGUGUGUUCUUCUGAGUUAAGGUGUUCAUUUAGACAGGCAAAGAGGCAGACCACAAUACCAGAGCUUCCCUCUCUGCCAUGGUGUUGGUAUGCUUCUAAUUCUGCUUCUAAAAACCCCUUCUGUUUCAUUUGGUUUAAUCCCCCCUGCUUAACACUGUAUUCUAUUUACAUAACCACUGUUAACUAAGUACCACCCUCCCUCCAGGGCAUUGGUGGUUCAGUGGUAGAAUUCUGGCCUGCUCCGCUCCCUCUCCUUGUCACACCCUGAUUUUUCACCAAUCUCUUUUUUUCUCUCCACCCUCUCUACAUCACAUCCUGUUUACACCCUACUUGGCAAGUAUAUUAGUUUUAGUUUAGCUUAGCUUGGCUUAGAUUGUGCUGCGUUCCGCAUGAAUAAAGACUGAUCUGCGUACCACCCA